rnacentral:lncRNA from 1 species
AUGGAUUUAUUUAUGUAUUGUAGGCGAUUUGAUUAUUAGCUAGAUGUGUAUGCAUGCUUGAUUGUGUUUGACAAUUGUUUAUUGCUUUACCUAAUUCUUGGUCACGGUAUUUAUCACAUAAUAGAGUUGUGUUAGGUUCUAGAUUUUGGUAACUGUCGAUAUCACAUAAUAAAUCGUGAAUCUUUAGGGUUAAAUUGGCCAAUAAACCUUAAAAGCAAUAUUCGGUAAUCUUAUAAAAUCAAGUGUUCUACUAACUCUCAAUAGCUGACAGGUGCAAGGUUAUUGUUAGGUCUAAGCGAUUAAACCGUAAGGUGGGUCCUUCUUAGGAAGUAAACCUAUUAGCUGCUGUCUAACAAGUCUAUCUAAUUUACCGGUAACCGUAACAGCCUUUAGGGUGCCUUAAUGUUUAAGAACCCAAAUUUAUCCUUGACUUGAGUCCCGAAACGGAGAGAGUCUUGUAGGGUACUAUCAUAAAUCAUUAGAGGUCCGGACAAGGAGUCUAAUUUACCGGUAAUCAUAACAGCCUUU